AUUGAACGCUGGCGGCAGGACUAACACAUGCCAGUCGAGCGAGCGGCGGACGGGUGAGUAAUGUAUGGGGACUGCCCGAUAGAGGGGAAUAACUACUGGAAACGGUGGCUAAUACCGCAUACUAUCGGAUAACCCAUAUGGGAUUAGCUAGUAGGUGGUGUAAAGGCUCACGUAGGCGACGAUCUCUAGAUGGUCUGAGAGGAUGAUAAGCCACACUGGGACUGUGACACGGCCCAGACGCCUACGCAGGCAGCAGUGGGGAAUAUUUCACAAUGGGCGCAAGCCGGAUGCAGCCAUUCCGCGUGUAUGAAGAAGGCCUUAGGGUUGUAAAGUACUUUCAGCGGGGAGGCGUUACCCGCAGAAGAAGCACCGGCUAACUCCGUGCCAGCCGCCGCGGUAAUUC
rnacentral:rRNA from 1 species